rnacentral:tRNA from 6 species
GCCCACUUAGCUCAGAGGUU